rnacentral:sRNA from 1 species
GUAUCCAUGAUGCUUAAACUUUAAAUCUUCGUUUCCCCUUGAUGAUGAUUAAUUAGAGGAAGUCUCGAACGAGGAUUC